rnacentral:tRNA from 1 species
GAGGAUUUAGCUCAGUGGCAUAAGCACCUGCCUGGCAAGCAGGAGAUCGUGAAUUGAAUUUUUG